UGUGGGUACACGCUCAGGAAAGGAAGUAGGGGGUCUACCCAAAGCUCAGCGACCGGUGGCCUGGGCAAUGCAUAAUGCUGGCCAGAGUGAUAGAUGUCCACAGGGUGGGCGCUGGUAAGAGGCCACAAGGUGGUCCUACAUCGUGACUGUCUGGCACCCUUCCAGCCAUUGCCAAAGAGAGCUCGGCUUGUGCUGAGCCAACACCUGGAUCGGACACAUCCCCUGUUGUGGUACCUGAGCACACAGGGCGCCUCGCUACCGAGGCGCCAACGACGCCCUGCUCUGCACCUCCAGGCCUUUUGUGAUGGUUGCACGGGUUGCUGGGGUCAACUGCAUUCUACUAAAGUUUAAUCAAAGUCUUGGAUAUUGCCCGCCCCGCAGUCAUCCUGGGUCUACAGAGCCGGUCUCUUCUCUCGCUGUGUCCAAUGACUUCCCGUCCUCUCACACACAGGAGACAGAUGAAAAGGGCUCUCUGGAAUCACUCGAGCAGUCUUCAAUCCUUCUUCGAGGCAGACAGACACCAGCGGAGAUGAGAGUGUAGGAGGUGGUGGUUAGAGGACGUGAUGAGACGUUGCACCUCUUCUGUCAGAGAAACACGUUCCCUGCCCAUCAAAGAUCAUUGCGUGUGAUGGAUCCAUGAGGGGAAGUACAAUAUUAACCUGUUGAACUCUAAACCACUGAAGCUUCGUCCCGUUUCAGUCAUCAGAGUCACCAUUACUGUGUAAAUGUCUGUGCACGUCCUCGUUGUGUUAGCGGUGGUGAACGCAUUGUGAAUGGCGCAUUAAAAUAUAUUCAACCAUGUAUUACUAAUUAUACUUUCAUUCAUUACUAAGAUAUUCAUGAACAGUAUAUUAAUGUAAAGCUAUUACACAAUAAUGGCUUCCUGGCCCCCUGAGACGAACGAUUUGAAUACUUGCCUUAGAUCAAUAACUGCCUCAACUAAUCAAGGUUUAUGAUGUAAUUAACGUAGCCCUCCUGUUUCUCACUUCUCCAGAGAGUAUGAGGACUUGUAAAGAUUCAGUCGGAGUAGAUGCUAUUAAAUAUCUAUUCUAGUCUACAUAUGGAGUUGGGGACAUGCAGACCACAAACCAAUGAUUUUUUUCUCCUUCUCUUUUUUGUUGUUUUUACUCUAAAAUGUUUUACUCUGUAGUUCAAUUAAUAUUGGCCUAUUGGGGGUUUGAUGUAUAAUUUACUGAUUUCUGUAAUAAAUGCGGGCUGUGAAGGGAUUUUGUUCAACUAAACGAAAGUAGGAAACAUCGCCUUCUCUGAAAUUGCACAAUUACAAGGAAAUGCCCUGGUGUUCACAUGUAUAUGCAGACAAUAAUGUUUGGGAAAUCGAUUUUUCUGUUUAGUGGAAUGCAGCUGUGUGUAAAAUGUAGUACAUUGAGCAGUUGUAGAAAAUUAAAAUAGCAAUCAUGCAAAACACUGGUCUCAGACAUGAAUAUGUAUGUGUGUGCAUGCGUGCGUGCAUCUACACGUGUGUGUGUGCGUGUGUGUGUGUGUUUGGUGCACUCUGUACACUUUGUGUAUGUGUGUGUGUGUGUGUGUGUGUGUGUGUGCGUGUGUGUGCGUGUGUGUGUGUGUGUGUGUGUGUGUGUGUGUGUGUGUGUGUGUGUGUGUGUGUGUGUGUGUGUGUGUGUGUGUGUGUGUGAGUAUGCUUGCAUUUAUUCCAACAAUGUUCACACGCUCAAAAAGUAAUAAAAGCUUUUUUUAAUCUUUUAUUUUCUAGAAAGGACACAGCUGGACCGACUUAUAUCAAAAUGUCAACCACGAAAACGCUUUGUGACAUUUUGAUGGCUGGCGGCGAAACGAAGAGAGAGAACUACACCUUUAAGAAGCCAAAACCCUGUAGUAUCAAAUUAGACUAUGACCUUUCGGAGGCGAUAAGGGAAACUCUUUUUGGGGGGGGAGGGAGCAGUUUGAUCCUGCAGCUUCAGCCCCUGGGUUCAACCUUAGCCUCUGUGUCCACACUGACCCUGGAGACAGAGCUGCUCUACCAGGUGGACAUCAGACAUGAAUCUUGUUUGCCGUCUCAUUUAUCUUAGCGAGGGGGUGGUCACGAUGGGGGUACUAGCGAUGGGGGUGUUGGUCCAGGCGGUUUGCUGAUGAAAUGGAUGUUGGUGAAGAGCACAUAGGCCGGGAUAAUGGGGGAAAACACUGAGGUCAGAGUUUGUACGAGAAUAGUUUUGCCCAGGAAAUGUAGAAAAUGAAGGACGUAACGAACCUGUCUGUCUGUCCGUCUCCAGUGGCAUAGGCCAUGCGGCAGGUAAUGGAUGUUUGCAAAGGAAUAUCAACUUUGAUGAAUUCUACAGACAGACGGCUGGGGACGGACGGACAGACAGACAGACAGAUUGGAGAGA